GGUCGCCGGCCGCUCGGCCUCCGUCCAGGGCGGCAUGCAAAUGCUGGCGCUGAUCAUCACGCUGGUCAUCUCCGUGGUCACUGGUCUGCUGACGGGCCUGCUGCUGAAGCUGCGUUUUCUGGGAGCGGCGUGGAGACGGGCGACCUGUUCAGCGACCGGCGCUACUUCGUCGUGCACGACGAGCCGCCUCCAGAGCCGGCCGAGCCCGCUGCCGGAAUCCGCAAAAUCCACGUGGUGAGUCCCGUAGAAGACUAACAGCUUGCCGCGGCAGCGUCCGAGCCGCCCGCCGCCGGCCAGCUCGGGCGGCCCCCCGACACUGAGAGGCUGGGUCCUCCGUUCAGUUCUUCGGUGGACUCUGCGCCUUGCACCACAUCGUCUGGUCGGACGCACCCCUCCCCCUCUCUCUGUCACCCGUGUGAGCCUACCCCUCCGUCACCUCUGCCAGCCGUGUGGGCCUCCCCCUCCGUCACCUCUGCCAGCCGUGUCAGCCUCCCCUCCAU